rnacentral:rRNA from 1 species
UACGAGAGGCCCAAACGUUAUUCGGAUUUACUGGGCUUAAAGAGUUCGUAGGCGGUCCGUCAAGUGAGGUGUGAAAGCCCUCGGCUCAACCGAGGAAUUGCGCUUCAAACUGUCGGGCUCGAGGGAGAUAGAGGUGAGCGGAACUGAUGGUGGAGCGGUGAAAUGCGUUGAUAUCAUCAGGAACACCAGAGGCGAAGGCGGCUCACGGGGUCUAUUCUGACGCUGAGGAACGAAAGCUAGGGGAGCAAACGGG